ACGUAGGGUGCGAGCGUUGUCCGGAAUUAUUGGGCGUAAAGAGCGUGUAGGCGGCUUCACAGGUCCGCUGUGAAAACUCGAGGCUCAACCUCGAGCUGUCGGUGGAAACCGUGUAGCUAGAGUCCGGAAGAGGAGAGUGGAAUUCCCGGUGUAGCGGUGAAAUGCGCAGAUAUCGGGAAGAACACCCGUGGCGAAGGCGGCUCUCUGGGACGGUACUGACGCUGAGACGCGAAAGCGUGGGGAGCGAACAGGA
rnacentral:rRNA from 1 species